rnacentral:tRNA from 1 species
AUAAACUAGUAUAAAAGGUACACAAAUUUUUGAUAUUUGAGGAAAUAGUUUAAUUCUAUUGUUUAUAAU